CCCUCUGCUGUAGGGUGAAGCUGGCCCCACCGGUCCAAUGGGUGCUAUGGGCCCUCUGGGACCAAGAGGAAUGCCAGGAGAGAGGGGAAGACUUGGGCCACAGGGUGCUCCUGGACAACGAGGUGCUCAUGGCAUGCCUGGAAAACCUGGACCAAUGGGUCCCCUUGGGAUACCUGGCUCUUCUGGCUUUCCAGGAAAUCCUGGAGUGAAGGGAGAAGCAGGUCCUACUGGGGCCCGAGGCCCUGAAGGACCUCAGGGACAGAGAGGUGAAACUG
rnacentral:lncRNA from 1 species